AGCAGCCGCCGCAGGAAUACAGAUGGUGCGAGCGUUAAUCGGAUUUACUGGGCGUAAAGCGUGCGUAGGCGGCUUCUUAAGUCGGAUGUGAAAUCCCUGAGCUUAACUUAGGAAUUGCAUUCGAUACUGGGAAGCUAGAGUAUGGGAGAGGAUGGUAGAAUUCCAGGUGUAGCGGUGAAAUGCGUAGAGAUCUGGAGGAAUACCGAUGGCGAAGGCAGCCAUCUGGCCUAAUACUGACGCUGAGGUACGAAAGCAUGGGGAGCAAACAGGAUUAGAUACCCCGGUAGUCCCUGUCUCUUAUAC
rnacentral:rRNA from 1 species